GACAGAAGUGCCAAGCGUUAGGCGGAAUCACUGGGCUUAAAGCGUGUGUAGGCGGAUCGUUAAGUACCUUGUGAAAUCCCACGGCUCAAUCGUGGAACUGCUCGGUAUACUGGCGGUCUUGAGCCACCUAGGGCAACUGGAACGAAGCGGUGGAGCGGUGAAAUGCGUAGAUAUCGCUUGGAACGCCAACGGUGAAAACAGGUUGCUGGGGGUGUGCUGACGCUGAGACACGAAAGCCAGGGGAGCGAACGGGG
rnacentral:rRNA from 1 species